rnacentral:rRNA from 1 species
GAUGAACGCUGGCGGCGUGCCUAAUACAUGCCAGUCGAGCGAACAGAUGAGGAGCUUGCUCCUCUGACGUUAGCGGCGGACGGGUGAGUAACACGUGGAUAACCUACCUAUAAGACUGGGAUAACUUCGGGAAACCGGCGCUAAUACCGGAUAAUAUAUUGAACCGCAUGGUUCAAUAGUGAAAGACGGUUUUGCUGUCACUUAUAGAUGGAUCCGCGCCGUAUUAGCUAGUUGGUAAGGUAACGGCUUACCAAGGCAACGAUGCGUAGCCGACCUGAGAGGGUGAUCGGCCACACUGGAACUGAGACACGGUCCAGACGCCUACGGGAGGCAGCAGUAGGGAAUCUUCCGCAAUGGGCGAAAGCCUGACGGAGCAACGCCGCGUGAGUGAUGAAGGUCUUCGGAUCGUAAAACUCUGUUAUUAGGGAAGAACAAAUGUGUAAGUAACUAUGCACGUCUUGACGGUACCUAAUCAGAAAGCCACGGCUAACUACGUG